UGUUGAGCUUGACUCUAGUCUGACUUUGUGAAAUGACUUGUGAGGUGUAGGAUAAGUGGGAGCCGAAAGGCGAAAGUGAAAUACCACUUUUAAUAUUAUUGCACUUAUUCCGUGAAUCGGAAGCGGGGCACUGUCCCUCUUUCUAGACCCAAGGCCCAUCUCGACGGGCCGAUCCGGCCGGAAGACAUUGUCAAGUGGAGAGUUUGGCUGAGGCAACACAUUUGUUAAAAUCUAACGCAUGUGUCCCAAGAUCAGCUCAACGAAAACAAAAAUCUCGUGUGAAACAGUAGGGUAAGAGCUCGUAUGUUUCGGAUUUCCACUACAAAUACGAACCGUGAAAAGCGUGGCCUAACGAUUCUUUAGACCCUUGGAAAACUUACCACA
rnacentral:ncRNA from 1 species